GGAGCGGAUUUUGGGAGAAGAUCAAGAGUUUGUUAGUUUGUUUUGGACAGGUUAAGUUUGCAAUUCCUACAUACAAAAGAACUUCAAAAAGCUCAUGGAAAUGGGUAUUAUGGGAAAAUUAUGCAUAUGCUUCAAUUUUUUUGUACCAAAAUAAACUCAUCUUUCAAACUUUUAGGAUCUAUUUGAGUUUUACCUUAUUUAUGUAUUUAGUUUAUUUGAAGGGAUGUGGAGGGAGAGAGAUUGAUUGAGAGACUGAUUCUUCCAUCCUCUGGAUCAGUCCCCAAAUGCCCACGACAGCUAGGCAUGGGCCAGGCUAGACUCACCUGCCUAGCAGGGACCCAUGUACUUGAACCAUCACCUGUUGCCUCCCAUGGUAUGCGUUUGCAUGAAAUUUUAAUGGAGAGCAGAGCCAGGACUUGAACCCAGGCACUUCAAUAUGAGAUGCAGCUGUACUAAGCAGUACCUAACUUCAGUGCCAAAAGUCCUCCCCAAAUUUACCUUUUUUUUUUUUUUUUAAGAUUUAUUUUUUUAUUUGAAAGGCAGAGUUACAGAGAGAGAGAGAGAGAGACAAAGAGAGCUCUUCCAUCUGCUGGUCCACUCUUCAAAUGUCUGCAAGCCUUGUGCUGGGUAAGGAGCUUCAUCCGGGUCUCCCGCGCAGGGGCAGGUGUCCAAGCACUUGGGCCACUUUUCACUGCUUUUCCAGGUGCAUCAACAGGGAGUUGGACCAGAAGUGGAGCAGCACCCAUAGGGGAUGGUUGGCGUUGCAGCCAGUGCCUUAAUCCACUGUGCCACAACGUCAGCCCCUCUAAACUUACCUUGUAAUCUUAUUUCCCGUGAACUUUUUGAAAUGCUCUUGUAUGUUCAAUUAAUGAUACUGAGUUGGCAUUUGGAAAGAUGACUCAUUUUUGUUGUUGUUAAAUUUGUAUGUAUUUGGGUGAGCGGUAGAGACACAAAAAGAGUGCCCAUCCUGAGAGAGGUUCACUCCCCAAAUGCCUGUAGUGAAGGGGUUGUGCCAGGGCCAAGGUCAGGAACCAGGAACUCAAACCAGACUUCCCAUGCGGGUGGCAGGGUCCCAGUUACUUGAGCCAACACCUCUACCUCCCAGGAUGUGCAUUAGAUGGAAUCUGACAUCAGGAGCAGGAGCCAGAAUCAAGACUUGGUAUCUAAUAUACAGUGAGGCAUCUCAACUGCUUCCUGGGUUCACCCCUGGGAAGAUGACUCAAGUCCAAGGGAGAGGGAUUGGCUGGAGAGAGAAAUUCAAGACCCCAUGCUGGAUGAGAUCCCCUAGGGAAGGUGAGGGGGGGCGGAUAGAGAGAAGUCCAAGGACUGAUCCAGGGCUCUCCGCAGUGGGAAGACUGGGUGGGUAUGGAGAGGUGAGACGCAGAAGGGGAGGAAAACCUGGAGACCAGGGCCGGCGCCGCGGCUCACUAGGCUAAUCCUCCGCCUUGCGGCGCCGGCACACCGGGUUCUAGUCCCGGUCGGGGCGCCGGAUUCUGUCCCGGUUGCCCCUCUUCCAGGCCAGCUCUCUGCUGUGGCCAGGGAGUGCAGUGGAGGAUGGCCCAAGUGCUUGGGCCCUGCACCCCAUGGGAGACCAGGAUAAGUACCUGGCUCCUGCCAUCGGAUCAGCGUGGUGCGCUGGCCGCGGUGGCCAUUGGAGGGUGAACCAACGGCAAAAGAAGAGCUUUCUGUCUCUCUCUCACUGUCUGCCUGUCAAAAACAAAAACAAAAACAAACAAAAAACCUGGAGACCAGGAGGUUCCUGCCUGAGCUUGGUGAGGAUAAUCAGAGUCAUCACUGGGACGUGGCCUCUCAGGGAAUGGAAGACACCAGGCACGCCCCAAACAAUAUCUGAGAUAAGGCGGCAGCCACAGGACAAGGCGGCAGCCACAGGACGAUGCGUGCUGUUCAGUACAAACAGAAACCCAGACUUCAGUGUGGCCAAUGUCUGUGUUUUCCUUUGCUGGGAACCCCACCCAGGCCCCGGCCACACAGAGUCCUUGGAAAGGAGAUGCCGCCACAGGACUUCACGCUGGGCUGAGUGCAGAUGUGAAUUUUUAGAAAUCAUUAAUUUUUAACCACACACGUGAUGCGUGAAUUAGACCAGGCAUCCUCGGUGGGCGGGGUAUCACCCUAAAAGGGUGGACGUUGAUUGGUUCUUGGGUGUAGGGAAUGUCCUAGGUCUUACAGUGGCUUAUCGCCUCAGUACAUAAACACACAUACACACAGCACGUAAAUUAGGAUUUCAUGGCACCAGGAGAGUGAUUAGGAAAGAAAUAUCUUGUAAGGCUCCUUGGAAGGGGUGCUAAUGUAAAAAGGUUAAGGAACCCAGAAUUAUUCCUCAGCCUCCCUCCCCAGAGCCCUGGCGAUUUUUGGGGUUGAUUCUUCCUUUAAAUAAAUAACAGUAAGGUCCCAGUUCUUAGCUUCUUUUUGUCCCUCUUGGUCAUGUACCUCAAAGAGAUUUUCUUGUUAGCCCCUAUCGAUUGGUGCUUAUUUCUAAGAGCUCUGUGGGAUUCUGCCAUAUGCAUACGACUUGGUUUCUGUUCCUUAGUGGAUGGGUAUUUAAGGUGUUUCCCCUCCAUCCCUCCCUCCCUCCCUCCCUUCCUUCCUUCCUUCCUUUUCUUCCUCCUCCCCUCCCUCUCCUUCCCUUUCUCUUUCUUUCUUUCCCCCUCCCUUCCCUUUCUUUGCUAUAAAAUCACCAAUGACCAUUGCAGGGUUUUGUUUCUGCUCAUGUGCCUCGGUUCAACAGCUCUUUCUGGAGGGUAGCAGAAGGUGCCCUGGGUCAUCGGGCCAAGGCUGAUUAGGCUGAAAUUUUACAAGGUGGAGAUGGGCCAACCAGGCAUCUUGCUGGAGGUCUCCUAAUCAGGCUUUGGAGCACAUGGUCUCCUUAACCCUUCUGACACUGGCAUGAGGUUGAGAUUUUACUCACAGUCCGCUCUAGCUGUGAGAUCACUGAGGUUUAUGGGGCCGGUGCUGUGGCACAGCAGGUUAAAGCCCUGGCCUGAAGUGCCAGCAUCCCAUAUGGGCGCUGGUUCUAGUCCCAGCUGCUCCUCUUCCGAUCCACCUCUCUGCUAUGCCCUGGGAUAGCAGUAGAAGAUAGCCCAAGUCCUUGGGUCCCUGCACCCACGUGGGAGACCUGGAAGAAGUUCCUGGCUCCUGGCUUUGGAUUGGCGCAGCUCCAGCCAUUGGCGGCCAUCUGGGGAGUGAACCAGCAGAUGGAAGACCUCUCUCUUUGUCUCUACCUCUCUCUGUAACUCUGCCUUUCAAAUAAAUAAAAUAAAUCUUAGAGAGAGAGAGAGAGAGCACUGAGGUUUAAAAAGGCACAAUGACUUGGCCAAGGCCACUCAGCAGGGAGUGGUAGAGUGAAGGGCAAGAGUGGGGUCUCCUGACUAAGUGUAGUGAAACUGUCCUUCUCUGGGGUCCCUAGGAUCUUUGAUCCAGUGUGCCCCAGGGGAGCUGGGCCAUGGCUUUGUCAUCAUGCUUGUCUUUUAAAUUCAGCUAUGGGGCCCUUAGUUUUCAAACAUUAGAGUGCUCAGAAUUGUUUUUAUUCUCGUUGUCACUGACUAAGCAGGAUAGGCCAACAUUUUCUUUUAAAAAAAUUAGUCCAUAAUAUAUAAAGUAGAGGUUACAAAAUGCCAUGUGUAAUAAAAUGCCAAGUGUGUGAAAAAAUGUGCAUGUGCGUGUGUGUGCAUGUUUAUAAGAGCAAUUCUGGAAGAAGGCUCAUCAAAAUGCUGCUCGUGGCUAUGGCUGGAUGAAGGGAUUAUGGAGAUGUCAAGUUCCUUUCUGGGGCUUUUCCUGGCUAGCUCCUCUGGCCAAUAUCUUUUGAACAAUGUGUAUGAAUAUUGUAAUCUGAAAAUUACAAUGCAUUAUAAAAGUGAAGUCGGAAUAAAUAUUUCGUUGGAAAGUAAAAGGAAAGAAAUGGGAAAAAGAAAAGAAGAUGUGAGGGUAUUUCAAGAGUUUGUGGAAAAUGAAACUAAAAGAAGGGUUUAUUUUGGUGCCAGCAAUUUUGAAAUCCAUGCAUAAGAUGUGUUCAAAAAGUUCGUGGAAAAUGCAUAUUAUGGGGGCUUCUUUGUUGCACAUCUGGUAAAGUCGCCUUCUGCAGUGCCGGCAUCCCAUAUGGGUGCUGUUUCAUGUCCCAGCUGCUCCAUUUCUGAUCCAGCUUCCUGCUAAAGGCCUGGGAAGAUCAGCGGAAGAUGACCCAAGUGCUUGGGCCCCUAACACCCACGUGGGGGACCCAGAUGAAGCUCCUGGCUCCAGCCUGGCCUAGUGCUGGCAAUUGUGGCCAUAUGGGGAGUGAACCAGUAGAUGAAAGAUCUGUCUCUUCCUCUCUCUCUCUCUCUCUCUCUCUCUCUCUCUCUCUUUGUGACUCUUUCAAAAUAAGUAAAUCUUUUAAAAAGAAGAUAAAUAUUAUGAAAAAAAUUAGGCAUGAAUUUCAGAGUUUUUGCACCAAAAUAAACUUACCUGUUUUUUUUUAAGAUUUUUUAUUUAUUUAAAAUGCAGAGUUACGGCAGGGGGUGGGGGGAGAGAUCUCCCAUCCUCUUCACUCCCACAAUGGCUGGAGCUGGGUCAGGCUUCAGCCAGGAGCCUGGAUCUUUUUUCAGGUCUCCCAUGUGGGCACAGGGACCCAAUACAGCACAGCACCAGCCCUGUAAGCCUAUCUUUUAACACCACUUUCCAUGAAGUUUUUGAUGUUCAGUCGUAUUAACCUAACUUGGUAAUUGUGCAAACUGAUGCCCAUUAUAAAAUUCGAGUUCUCCCUGGGAGAGAGAUAAGGGAGUUUCCUUAAGACCUCACCCAAUGGAAGGAAGCCGGUGAUCCCAGGUUCCUGGGUGCCUUUUGCUCAGAGAGCCCUGAGGCUGACCAGGGGCAGUAUUGCCUUCCUUGCCAGUAGUGUGGAGUCUUGGAAGACAGGCAGGGUCCUCUGAGUGCGGCGGGUCAAAGAUUGUGUGACCCAGGCCCCUUCCGUAGUGUCCUGUUUCCAGAUCCUGAGAGCCCUUGGCUGUCCUCCCAGAUGGGGCUCCUGUCUAACCCCCAUGGGGCAUGGUGUGGGAGGGGCAUGUGUGUUGUAAAAUGCAAGCAUCGGUCCAUUGGUUACAUUCCCUCUGGGAACACGGCUCUAUUUUAGGAUUGUCCAGAGGAAAAGGAAGGUUUGACCUUGCACAGGCGCUCUUGGCAACAAGCCAGUGAUUGCUGACCAGCAGACGAGCUGGCCUGCCUAACAAGCGAUCUGUAGAACUCGAUGCAUAAAAGGCAUUGUGGAGCAGACACGAGGGGGUGGAGAUCGAUGGCGGUGCCAAGCUGGUGCCAAGGGAACUCUUCAGUGAGGUCGAGCAAAUGCUCCCAUGGGCCUGUGCCUUCGCCAGCUUUUCCAUCUUAGAAGCAGCAAGGACAGUGUUAAAUCUUUCCUAGGAGGUUUCCUUCGAGAGAAAGACUGAUCAGAGACAUAUUGCUUUCUUUAAAAAAUUAUUUGAGAGACAGAAACAGACAGACAUAUGCACAUGCCGAGAGAGAGAAUAUGUUCUCAUCUGUUGGUUCACUCCGAGAGAGGGAGAGAGGGAGGAAGGGAGGAAGGGAGGGAGAGAGAGAGGGAGAGAGGGAGAGAGGGAGAGAGGGAGAGAUGUUCCCAUCUCUUUAUCCACUCCCCAAAUGGCUGCAGCUGCCAAGACUGGGCUGGGGCCAGAAUCAGCAGCUGAGAUCCUAAUCCGGGUCUCCCAAGUGGGUGGCAGAAGCCCAGUUACUUGAGCUGUCAUUGCCACCUCCCAGGGUUUGCAUUAGCAGGAAGCUGCAAUCAGGAGCCAGAGCUAGAGCCAGGAUUCAAACACAGGCUCUCUGAUGUGGGAUGCAGGUACCCCAACGGGCAUCUUCACUCCUAGGCCAAAUGCCCCCUGGGAGAGGGACCCUAGUUCUAAUCCUGGCUGCACGCUGGGAGGCGUAACUGGGAGUGGAUGUGCAGACCAAACCCAGGCUAAUGAAGUCAGAACAGGUGAUGCUUCCAGGUGUUUGCAGGUAGACAUUGAGACAACUUGUGCUGGGACAUCGUAGACGAUUGGAGCACUGCUAGUGACAUCUGUCAUGUCUCAGGCACACACUGCACCAGGUGACGUGCUCACUAUCUGAAUUAAUCCAUACCCAGGAGGUCAGGGUUUUGUAUUUGCUCCUUUGGCAGGUGAGGAGUGGACUUACCGACCUAAGAUCAGCCAGAAACUGGUAUCCUGUGUUUGUGCCUCAGCAGGAACCCUCAGAGUCACACAGCUGUGUGGGGCAAGUAAGGGGCUUGCUGGAGGGAUGGGGAGGCCAAGGGUGGAUCAGAGCCCAGGGCUUGUCAGCACUCAAGCCUAUUGGUAAACUGAGGCAGAAGGAUUGGGGUAAGGUGCAGGGGUGAUUUAAAAAAAAUUAGUCCUUGGGGAAGAGUGGAAACCACUGACUUAAGGGAGUAGUACAGCUGUCCCCAGCUGGCCUUACAAGGUUCUUAUCACCAGACUCAAGGAGUCAUUUGCUUCUCCAAUAGAUAAGAAUCUUGAUGGCCAGUAUUGUCCUGGAGUGAUUUAUGUAAGGGAAUUCCAGGCCUGGGCAGAAUGUAACCGUCACCUUCAUGUAACCCCCAGACCAACUGGAGCCCACCUGGCCAUCAUAAAUUCCCUAAAGGUCACAGCAUCACUGACUAAUCGAGGAGGGAAGAUCACCAUGAGCUCCACUGACCAGCCGGGAACCUGGACAUGAGCUGAUCACACAUCUCUCAGCCCCAGUUUCAGUCUAGAAGAGCCUUCGGCCCUGACUGCUCAGGGAGCCCAGGAAUGAAGCAAUAAGUCCCGGAUCCUUGCUUUGCAAUAAAUACUUUCUUCCACCAAAAAAAGAGAGAGAGAGAGAGACCUGGAGCAGGUGCAAGUGAAAGAUGUAGUGGAUAAGUGUGUUUAUUUCUUCCAGUGUGAUUCUAAUCUGUGAAUUCCUCUCUAGCAUGUUCGCAUACUGAGAUCUUUCAUUUCUUUAAAUCUCAUUUUAGUUGAUGUUUUCCUUUGCAGAUGUACUUUUUUGUCUUUUAUUAUUUAUUUUUAAAAUAUGAUCAAAUACCCAUAACAUAAAAUUUGCCAAUUACCCAUUUUAUUAAUUUUUUGAAAGCUUAUUUAUUUAUUAUUAUCUACUUGAAAGGUAGAGAGAGAGAGAUUGAGAGUUGAUAGAGAGAUCUUGCAUCCACUGAUUUCACUCCUCAAAUGCCUGCACAGGCCAGGUCUGUGCUAGCUCAAAGCCAGAUGCCAAGAACUCCAUCCAGCUCUCCUAACACGAGUGACAGAGGCCCAAGUACUUGGGCCAUCAUUGGCUGCUUCCCAGGUACUUCAGCAGGGAGCUGGACUGGGAGUGGACAAGCCAGCAUGAGGACUGGCACUCCAUUAUGGGAUGUGGGCAUCAUAAGUGGCAAUGGAACCCACUGUGCCACAAUGCCCACUGGCACCAUACCCAUUUUUAAGGGUUCAGGUCAGUGGUGUUCAGCGUUCAUAUUCACGCUGUUGUUUAGACAUUGCCAUCAUCCGUCACUACCAUUCUUCCAGCUUGGAAAACAGAAACUCUACCUACCAAACAACAAGCCCCCAUCCCCUGCUUCCGUCCAGCCCCUGGCAACCUCCUAGGGUCUCCAUUAGCAGGAAGCUGGAAUCCAGAGCUGGAGCCAGGACCCAAACCCAGGUACUCCAACAUGGAUGCAGGCCUCCAACAGGCUACAUGUUUUUUUGUUUGUUUGUUUGUUUGUUUGUUUUUGACAGGCAGAGUGGACAGUGAGAGAGAGAGAGACAGAGAGAAAGGUCUUCCUUUGCCGUUGGUUCACCCUCCAAUGGCUGCCGCGGCCAGCAUGCUGCAGCCAGCACACCACGCUGAUCCGAUGGCAGGAGCCAGGUGCUUCUCCUGGUCUCCCAUGGGAUGCAGGGCCCAAGCACUUGGGCCAUCCUCCACUGUACUCCCUGGCCACAGCAGAGAGCUGGCCUGGAAGAGGAGCAACUGGACAGGAUCCGGCGCCCCGACCAGGACUAGAACCCGGUGUGCCGGCGCCGCAAGGCGGAGGAUUAGCCUAGUGAGCCACGGUGCCUGCCAGGCUACGUGCUUUCUUGCUCUCCUUUCUGUCCCUGUGAACUGGAUUAGUGUAGGUACCUCAUGUAAAUAGAAACACAUAAUAGGGGCUGGCGCUGUGCCACCUGCAGUGCCAGCAUCCCAUAUGGGCGCCUGUUCUAAUCCUGGCUGCUCCUCUUGCAAUCCAGCUCUCUGCUAUGGCCUGGGAAAGCAGUAGAAAAUGGCCCAAGUCCUUGGGCCCCUGCACCCACGUGGGAGACCUGGGGGAAGCUCCUGGUUUCGUAUCGGCCCAGCUCCAGCCGUUGUGGCCUUUGGGGAGUGGACUAGUGGGUAGAAGACCUUUCUCUCUGUCUCUCCCUCUCACUGUAGUUCUACCUGUGAAAUAAAUGAAAUAAAAUAUUAAAAAAAAUCACAUAAUAUUUGCCCUCUUGUGAUAGGCUUAUUUUGCUCACAUUCUGAAACAUUUUUCAUAAGCUACUAUUGUAAAGCAAGAUAUGGAUUCAUAGAUAUGGUUUUGUCUUUUCUCACUGUGUAUAUGUUUGGAAAAGCAACAUGAUAAAUGGUCCAUGACAUGAAAAGAUUGAGCUUGUAAAAAAAAGAUUUAUUUAUUUGAAAGAGAGAGAGAGAGAGAGAGAAAGAGAGGAGAGAGAGAGAAAGAGAGGAGAGAGAGGUCUUUCAUCUGCUGGUUCAUACCCCAAAUGGCCACAGUAGCUGGGCCUGGAUCAGGAUGAAGGUAGUAGCCAGGAGAUUCAUCUGGGUCUCCCACAUGGGUGGCAGGAGCCCAGCUACUUGUACCACCUUCUGCUGCUUUCCUAGGCCAUUAGCAGGGAGCAUUGUGGCCAUUUGGGGAGUGAGCCACAAAUGAAAGAUCUCUCUCUCUUUCUCUCUCUGCCUUUCAAAUAAAUCUUUAAAAUAAAAAGAAUGAGUUGGGGGGGGGGAGGGCCCUAGAAAACUCAAAGGAUCAAUUAUGUUCUUUGAAUAAAUUCAGGCAGUGAUGGCCAGGAGCAGUUGGCACUGAGCAAGUAUCUGCAGGUCCCUACUGGAGAGAGGGGCUAGGAGUUCCUUUCCUUUCUGAACUGUCUGCCCAGCCCUCUCAACGUGGGCUGUGUACUCCUGAGCCAGGCUUCCUCAGCCCGGCUGCCAGAGUGAGAGGAUCCUAAGCCAAGUACAUCUCCAAAGUAACCCAGCCCGUGUCUGGGGUGUGUUUGCACCCUCAGGGAGAGGCCCUAAGGAAGGGUCCAGUGAGGAUGCUGGGAAGGGGUCUUUAUAAGUCAGGUUGGCAAAUCGGCCUGUUUCAUCUAUUACUGGAUGUUUCUGGUUAGGAUUGGAGGGCAUAUUUGAUUUAAAUGUGAAUCUUAGUGACCGAAUGGAACAACUGAGAUGUGUUGGGAUGGACCGUGGAGCGGUCAGCUGGAAGGUGUGGGAACAUGAGCCUGCAGGAAGCUCAAGUUCAAAGCCUGCGACCUUCCCUUCCCGUUGACAGGGUAGAAUUCUGUUCUGAUGACUGAGUUGAGGACAGGAUGACUGCUCACUGUAGGAGGCCUUUGUGGUUGGCUGUUGCUCAUUCUUGUUCUGACAGUGGCUCCUGAGUUUCCUCUGGGAACUCAAGGUGCAGAGGAUUUGCAGAAAGUGAGUGUUUGGGUGGAGUUGAUUUUCAGUGGAUUGGACCCAGGCUUGACCAAAUCACCCUGGCCACAGUGGACCAGGGAUGGGCAAGUGACCCAGGCUGGUUCUGAUUCCUCCCUCUCUGGGGAGAGGAGUUUAUGCAAUUGAGGAAGGAGGAGCUUCCCCUCACCAUACCACCUCUCCCUUUGUUUCCCUGGGGUCCUUCAAGCUGAGAGUAACUGUGGCCAUCAUGCAUUUGGGAAUGAGGCUAUCAAUAAAAAGAAGACAGAGCUAAGACAAUGUUUUUUGGAUCCGUUGGUACCUGAAGGCUGUGCACUCCUGAACUUCCAAGUUAGAUGAGCUGAUUGAUACCAUCACAUCUUCAUUUUGUGUGCCUGUGUGGAGGCACAGUGCUGUCUGUCUCUAAAACUGUUUUUAGAUUUCUGUGGCUUGCAGCCUACUGUGUGCUGUUGAAGGCUUGUGAUCCAGGGAGGUGCCACAUGGUAAACAUGUGAUGUGAUCUGCCAGGUGGCAAGGAUGAGCCCGGGUGGACCUGGUGAGAUGGCAGGUGCUUGCUCUGUCACAGAGAGAUUGCCAGACGGGGAGGUGCGGUUCACAGGCCCAGGGGUGGCUUUGCCUUUCAGUGAGUUGGGCACAUCUGUAUAUCUUUCUAACCCUUAGCUCCCAACAGCUCUAUAGUGGUUGACUUCAGUGAGAUCUUUGAAGAUAUAUGUGAUCUUCCCAGCUCUACAGGAUCCUGUUUUAACAGGUGUUUCACUUAAUAUCCAUAUAUUUUUUGAAAUUUAUUAAAAUAGGGCCGGUGCUGUGGAAUGGUGGGUGAAGCCACUGUGUGUAGUGCUGGCAUCCUGUAUGAGCACUGGUUCUGGUCCUGCUGCUCCACUUCCGAUUCAGCUCUCUGCUAUGGCCUAGGAAAGCAGUGGAGGAUGGUCCAAGUGGAUUGGACCCACGUAGGAGACCUGGAGGAGGUUCCUGGUUCCUGGCUUCAGAUCAGCGCAGCUCUGGCUAUUGCGGCCAUCUGGGGAGUGAACCAGCGGAUGGAAGACCUCUCUCUCUCUCUCUCUCUGCCUCUGUGUAACUCUGUUUCAAAUAAAUAAAAUAAAUCUUUAAAAAACUUAUUAAAAUAUUUAACAAACAUAUAAAAAUAAUACAUGUUUAUGGGGUACUAUGUGAUGUUUCAUUACAUGUAUACAUUGUGUGAUGUGCAGUUUUCACUAAGAAAAAAUGUUAUCAUCUAGGCUUUUUUUAAUAGAGAAAUAAAGAAGCAAUAGGUAACAUUAUUUAUCUUCACCCUACUGUGUAAUGCAACCCGAGAACUUCUUGCUUGUAUCUGGCUGUAACCUAAUUCCUGUCAAUCAACCUUUCCCGGUCCCUCUCUCUCCACUUCUUUGCCAGGCCCUGGUAACCAGUUAUAUCUUGAACUUCUUUGAUAGCACUUGUUUUUCUUUAGUUUCCACAUAUGAGUGCAAUCAUGUGAUACUUCUCUUUAUGUGCUUGGAUUAUUUUAUUUAACAAAACCAUCUCCGGUUCCAUCCGUAUUGUUAUGAAUGGCCAGAAUCCACCCUUUUUCAUGGCUGAGCGAUGUUCUCCUGUGUACAUGUCCCCCAUGUUCUUCAUCCGUUCAUCAGUGGAUGGAGCCGGGUUGUUUUCUUUUGCUGACUGUUGUGAAUUCUGCACAGUGAACUGGGAGGCAGAUGUCUCUCUGAGAGGUGAAUUUCAUGUCCCUUGGUAUAUCCCCAGGAGUGGGAUCACUCCUUCCUGUGGAAGCGCUAUUUUCGGGUUUUUUGAGGAACCUCCACAGUUUCAGUGGAACCUCCAUUCGGACACAGUGACUACCGAUUCACAUUGCCGCUCAGAGUUUGCUGGGUUCUCUUUUCUCUACUUCUGCACCAACACUUGUUCUCUGUUGGCUUUUUGGUAAUAGCCAGUCUUGCUGGAGUGAGGUGACAUCUCAUUGUGGUUUUGAUUUGCACUUCCCUGGUGGUUAAGGAGGCCGAGCAUUCUUUUCAUGCACCAAUUGGCCAUUUGUAUGUCUUCCUUUGAGAAAUGCCUGUAUAGAUCUAUGACCUAUUUUAAAAUUGGAUUUGAAUUAAGUUUUAUUUUUACUGAGCUGAAUUCUUUAUGGAUUCUGGAUAGUAAUUCCUUGUAAAUUAUUAGCUUGAGAAUAUUUUCUGACAUUUUGUAGGUUGUUUCAUUGCUUUGUUGAUUGUUUACUGGGUGAAAGCUUUUUAGUUUGAUGAAAUCCCAUUUGUCUUUUUUUAUUUCUUGUGCUUUUGGGGUUUGGUCAAGAAAAUUCUUGUCCAUUCCAAUGUCCUUGUUUUCUUCUAAUGGCUUCAAAGAUUUACAUCCACAUUGAGGUCUUUAAUCCAUGUCAAGCUGAUUUUUGUGCCUGGUGAGAGAUAGGGGUCAAGGUUCGUUCUUUGCAUGUGGAUAUCCAAUUUUCCCAAUACUAUUUAUUGAAAAGACUGUCCAUUUUCUAAUGCAUGUUCUUGGCACCUUUGUCAUGAUCCCUUAAUCAUAGGCAUGUGGAUUUAUGUCUAGGGUCUCUAUUCUGUCCAUUGAUCAAUGGAUCUGUUUUUAUGGCAAUAGCAAGCUGUUUUAAUUACUGUAGCUUUGUAAUGCAUUUUUUUUAAAGAUUUAUUUAUUUGAAAGUCAGAGUUACACAUAGAGAGGAGAGGCAGAGAGAAAGAGAGAGAGAGAUCUUCCAUCCGAUGGUUCGCUCUCCAAUUGACCACAAUGGCCGGAGCUGCGCUAAUCAGGAGCCAGGAGCCAGGAGCCAGGAGCUUCCUCCGGGUCUCCCACGCGGGUGCAGUGGCCCAGCAACUUGGACCAUCUUCCACUGCUUUCGCAGGCCACAGCAGAGAGCCAGAUUGGAAGUGGAGCAGCCGGGUCUCGAACUGGCACCCAUAUGGGAUGCCGGCACUUCAGGGCAGGGCGUUAACCUGCUGCGCCACAGCGCCGGCCCCAGUAAUGUAUUUUUAAACUCAGAUAGUAUAAUGCCUUCUGCUUUUUUCUUUUUGCUCAAGAUCAUUUUAGAUAUUCAAGAUCUUUUAUGGUUCCAUACAAGUCUUUUUUUUUUUUUUUUUUUUUGAAGUAGCAUUUAUUUUGAAAGAAUUACACAGAGAGAGGGAGAGACGAAGAGAGAGAUCUUCCAUCUGCUUUUACUCACCAAAUGACUGCAAAGGCCAGCGCUUUGUCAGGCCAAAGCCAGGAGCCGGGAGCUUCAUCCGGGUCUCCUACCUUUGGGUAAGAAACAGCAAGCUCCUGAGUCUUUGGGUGGCAGGGGCCCAAACACUUGGACCAUCUUCUGCUGCUUUUAACAGGGAGCUGGAUCAGAAGUGGAGCAGCCAGGAUCAAACCCACUCCCAUAUGUGAUGCCAAUGUCGUUACCGGCAACAGCUUUCCCUGCUACACCACAAUGCUGGUCCCAUCCAUACAGGUUUUUGUAUUGCUUUGUUUCAACAUCUAUGAAAAAUGUCAUUGGGAUUUUGAUAGUGAUCGCAUUGCAUCUGUAAGUUGCUUUGGGUAGUGUGCAACGUUUUAAUGAUGUUGAUUCUUCCAAUCCAUGACCAUGGGAUGUCUUCCCAUUUUUUUAUGUCCUCUUCAAUUUUUUCAUCAGUGAUUUAUAGUUUUCAUUGUAAAGAUUCUUCACCUCUUUGGUUAAAUGUAUUCCCAGGCAUUUUAGUAUUUUUGUAGCUGUUGGGAAUGGGAUUACUUUCUUGAUUUCUCUUUUCAGAUGAUUGGUAUGGAACAAUGUUAGUUGUACAAGAGCUUCUUAUCCUGUAACUUUGAUGAUUCUGUGUAUUCUAACAGUUCUUUGUUGGAGUCUUUGGGGUUGUCUCUAUAUAAGAUCAUGUCAUCUGCAGACAGUGGUAGCUUGGCUUCCCCCUUUCCAAUUUGGUUGCCCCUUACUUCUUUUUCUUGCCUUAAUGUCCAUAUUUUAAACAGGCAAUUGGAGUAGGUAUAAAAAUCAAAGAGAGGACAAUAAAAAUAUGCAUAUCGCCUCAAACUCCUACAAACUGCCUGAAGAUCUCUCCUUUACUUUUUUUUUUUUUUUUUUUGGACAGGCAGAGUGGACAGUGUGAGAGAGAGACAGAGAGAAAGGUCUUCCUUUGCCAUUGGUUCACCCUCCAAUGGCCACCACGGCUGGCGUGCUGCGGGCAGCGCACCGCGCUGAUCCGAACCCAGAAGCCAGGUGCUUCUCCUGGUCUCCCAUGGGGUGCAGGGCCGAAGCACUUGGGCCAUCCUCCACUGCACUCCCUGGCCACAGCAGAGAGCUGACCUGGAAGAGGGGCAAUUGGGACAGAAUCCGGCGUCCCGACUGGGACUAGAACCCAGUGUGCCGGCGCCACUAGGUGGAGGAUUAGCCUAUUGAGCCGCGGCGCCAGCCCCUCCUUUACUUUUAAAAAUAAUUUUCUACAUAAUUUUUAAAUCAGAGUACAACCUACAUGCAGGAAAAUGUUCACAUUACAAAUGUGUAGUUUGUUGCUUUUUCACAUGCUGUAGCCUCAUGUCAUGGCCAUCACACCAAGACGUAGACCAGGGCUUCAGAAAUCUCUCCGGAUCUGUAUCUCCUCCAAAGGAGACCGUGGUUUUAGUUUCUGUGGGUGUACCAUGUAUUAAUUUUACUUGCUUUUGAAUUUUACAUAGAGAGAACAUAGAGGAAGCACUUUGGGGGGGAGGUGAUGGUGAUCGGAGGUGGGGGGGAUCUGGCUUCAAUGUCGUAUUUGUGAGAGUCACCUGUUUUGUGAAUGACGGAGCUUACUCUCAUUGUUGUAUAGCCUGUCACCAUAAAGUGAUUAUACCACCAACUGUUUAUCCUACGUUGUUUUGCACUAUUAUGGAUGAUACUGCUCAGAAAGUUCUCAUAUGUGUUUUUGGUGGACCAACACUCUUUGAGUUGGGUAUAGGAUUGAUCUUCAAAAAGGCCGAGGAAAAUGUACAAGCAGAUGGAAAAUCUCUGUCUCCUACCCCCUCUGUCUCUCUGUCUUUCUAUUAAAUAAAUAAAUGCUUUAAAAAGAUUCAUGGGAAAUGUGUAUUAUGAUGGUUUAAAAAUUUUCUUGCAACGAAAUAAACUUUAAUUCCAUUUUUCCAAGAACAUUUUGAAGUCUGCGCAUGUGCACAUGUGGAGCAAGAUUGCUGUGUCACAGAGAGUGUAGAGCGUAUGUUUGGGCUUCAUAGAUGCUGCCAGAUAGUUCUCCACUGCCAGCAGCACUGAGUUCCUGUAGUUCCUUAUCUGCAUAUGCUGUUGUCUGUCCUUACUUUCAGCCACUUGAAAGGCAGAACGAGAGAGACACUGGUCAUCCACUGAUUCCUGAUUUACUUCCCCAAUGGCCAUAACAUCCAGGGCUGUGCCAGGCCAAAAUCAGGAACCAGGAACUCCAUUCUGGUCUCCCAUAUGUCAUUCUGUGAAGGCGACACUGACCAGGGUGUGGUUAAGAGGAGUGAUCACCAAUUUGUCCUGACGCCCAGGGUUCCAGUAGCCCCUGCCUUCACCAAGAGCCUGUCUGGAGUGACUGUCAUGCAUCCAUUACAUCAUCGAGGGGUCUCAUCAGGGAUCCUGGGGGGAUCGGAUCCAUAAUUGUGAAGGUAGCAAUGGCCUAGGGAAAGGGGUAUUCACUGACAUUUGGGAGAGGUAAGGGCCAGUGAAGCCCACCCAGGAGAGGCAGGAGGAGGAGGGUCCGUAAUGGGUUGGGGGACUGCGCAAAAGAAAUCCUGGUUACUGCCAGCCUCCAGCCUUACUGUCCUCCCCAACUCCAUCACCCACCUAUGCCUCCUGUUGACCAAACCCACCUAGGAGCAACCAGGAGCAGGGGCCUCCUGAGAUCCAGUGCAUCCGGGUUCAGAGUGAGUAGAAGGGGAGAGAGUAGGUGUUGAUGGGCAAGUAGGGAGUGACCAGCCCAGAGGUGUUUCUAGACCUCUCUCCCUUGUUAACAUGCAGAAACAUUUGCUCUAAGAUAGACUCUAAAAGCUUUCUUGGCCUGGGAACUGAUCUGAAAUCAAAUGCAGACGUGGGGCCGUGAGUCUUGAACAGAGUAGAUCCUUCCUCUCCUUGGCUUUAAGUCAAUGAAACAGAGGCCGAGGGGGUGCUCGUGGGCUGUGGCUGCAGGGGUUAGGAGAUGUAGGGGUGUGCUGGAGGGGCUGUGGGUUUAGCAAGUGGGGGAAGCCCACAGGAGCUCCUGAGGAUGGAGGUGCUGCAGAAGGUGCUCACUAGGAGGGUAUUACCAGGGACCAGAGAGAGAGGGAUUGUGGCAGAGCUAGGGAUGUGCCAAGCACGAAGGAACAGUCACUCAAGAGCUGGGGAAGAAGCCAGGUCAGAGUGGAGAACCCAGACUCCAGGCUGGGUAGUUGAAAAGAAAGGAAGUGGAAUGGCCGAGAGCAGAAGGUAGAAUGGGGUGGGCAUCAGCCAGGAGCUUGGGGGAGAAGAGGUUGUAUGUUUCCUGGGAGUGGCCUGGCCUUUGUCUGUGCCUCAGUGGGUUAGGGGUUCUGAGCGUAGACUCUGGGACUAGAGUGCUGGAUUCGAUUCCAACUCUGCCACCAUCUAGCUGUAAGUCUGUGGGUAGAUGACUUAACCUCUUGUGUCUCAGAUUUCUCUUCUGAAAGUGGGACCAUUAUAAUGCGUAUCUCUCUCGGGGUUAUUUUGAAGGUCAAAGGAGUAAGUGCACACAAAACUUAGAAGUACCACUUUAUGGUUUAAUUUCCAGAUUCUCCAGCACCAUCCCAAAGGCUGCCUCUGAAUUUUAAGGACUAACUGGGCUGGUUUUGGGGUGGGUGGGGGUGGGGAGGAGAGAAAAGUGGUACCACCAGGGAAGAGGGCAUGGGUGGGACGCCUAUCCUUGAGAUAACAAUGGGACACGGGCCAAGGAGCUUGGCUGGAGCUGGUGUCUCUAGGGAGGCUGGCUGCUUGUGACAGAGGCAGUUAUUUGAAGCGCUCCAAUCAUUUACACAUUAGUGUGAUUAUUAGGGACAGUUGGGUUCUGAAUAGGGCAAAGUCAGGGAGAGCAUGAAGACCUGGGUAUCAGGGGGAGGGGUUCCUGCCACUCACAGCUGGAAGUCCUGGCUCUCUUUUCACUUCUCUCCUGGAAGGUGGCAAUGAUCCUCUCUUGAGUGUUUUGCAAGUAAAAUGUCACAAGCAGAACACUGUAUUUGAAAUGUGCAUGCAACAUCUUCCUACAGUCACACACCAUGCUGCCAUUAAAUGAUGCAGAAGAAUAUUUAAUAAGGCAAAAGUCACACCAAGCAACAAUGAACGUGUGUCAGUUUUGCAUUUAGAAAAUGAUGCUUGGAAGAAAUUUCACAUCCAGGAGUGCCUAUAAAUCAGCACUGGGAACUGCAGAAGCAGCCUGCAACCAGGGACUUCUGUAUCUUAUUUAUCAAACACUGACAGAGUACCUGCUGUGUGCCAGCCAUUGUUUUAGCCCUUUUAAUUCUAACAGCCACUUCCUGGGAUAGUCUGUACCAUUGUACCCACUUUACAGGUGAGGAAGCUGAGGCAUAGAGGUAGCUUGCUUGCUGUCACACCAUGAUGGCAUCUGGAUUCAAAUCCUUCAGCCUCAUGCCUGAGUCCUACUACACUGCACUGUGCUGCAGCUGCCCACCGGUGUUUAUUGACCAUUGCUAGCCCCAAGGAGGAAGGUUGUCUUAUAUAUUUUUAUUAAAAAAAAUUUUUUUUGACAGGCAGAGUUAGACAGUGAGAGAGAGAGAGACAGAGAGAAAGGUCUUCCUUCCUUUGGUUCACCCCCCAAAUGGCUGCCACCGCCAGCGCUGCACCUAUCCGAAGCCAGGAGCCAGGUGCUUCCUCCUGGUCUCCCAUGUGGGUGCAGGGCCCAAGGCACUUGGGCCAUCCUCCACUGCCCUCCUGGGCCACAGCAGAGAGCUGGACUGGAAGAGGAGCAACUGGGACAGAAUCUGUUGCCCCAGCUGGGACUAGAACCUGGAGUGCCGGCGUCACAGGUGGAGGAUUAGCCAUGGCGGCGGCCAAAGGUUGUCUUAUAUUAAAAAGACUCACUGCUUACUUUUACCAGUGCUUUUUUUUUCCUUGGGUAUUUAACCAGUUAAGGGAGAUAAAGAAAUGGAAGAAAGGCAAAAAGACAAGACAGAAAAGAGGCAAAGGAGAUAAGGGCGGGGAGUGGGAGAAAGGAAAAGAAAAAGCUGAAGAGCCGGCGCCGCGGCUCAGUAGGCUAAUCCUCUGCCUUGCGGCACCGGCACACCGGGUUCUAGUCCCGGUCGGGGCACCGGAUUCUGUCCCGGUUGCCCCUCUUCCAGUCCAGCUCUCUGCUGUGGCCCGGGAGUGCAGUGGAGGAUGGCCCAAGUGCUUGGGCCCUGCACCCCAUGGGAGACCAGGAGAAGCACCUGGCUCCUGCCAUCGGAUCAGCGCGGUGUGCCGGCCACAGCGCACUGGCCACGGUGGCCAUUGAGGGGUGAACCAACGGCAAAGGAAGACCUUUCUCUCUGUCUCUCUCUCUCUCACUGUCUACUCUGCCUGUCAAAAAAAAAAAAAAAAAAAAAAAAAAAAAAAAAAAAGCUGAA